rnacentral:rRNA from 1 species
UACGGAGGGUGCGAGCGUUGUCCGGAAUCACUGGGCGUAAAGGGCGCGUAGGCGGCAUGCCAAGCGUGUGGUGAAAGCCCGGGGCUCAACCCCGGGUCGGCCGUGCGGACUGGCGUGCUCGAGCACUGUAGGGGCGGGUGGAAUUCCGGGUGUAGCGGUGGAAUGCGUAGAGAGUCGGAAGAACACCGGUGGCGAAAGCGCUCUGCUGGACCUUAACUGACACUGAGGGACGAAAGCUAGGGGAGCGAAUGGG